rnacentral:rRNA from 1 species
AUACGUAGGGGGCAAGCGUUAUCCGGAUUUACUGGGUGUAAAGGGAGCGUAGACGGUGCAGCAAGUCUGAAGUGAAAUCCCAGGGCUCAACCCUGGAACUGCUUUGGAAACUGUUGCACUAGAGUGCAGGAGAGGUAAGUGGAAUUCCUAGUGUAGCGGUGAAAUGCGUAGAUAUUAGGAGGAACACCAGUGGCGAAGGCGGCUUACUGGACUGUAACUGACGUUGAGGCUCGAAAGCGGUGGGGAGC